rnacentral:lncRNA from 1 species
UUGCUACCUUUCUGGACAGAGUAGCCUCAUCGGGGCCCUAAGAGGCAGAGAGAGAAAGACAGUACUGAAUCCCUCUGCUCUGGGGAUGCGCCUGAUGUCACCCACUUGCCUGAGAGACCCUCUGAGAUCACUGUGGAUCACACACUCCUGCUAGUUGCCCAGGAGCCGUCAGCCAAGGUCUUUGCAGAGCGAGCUGUCUCCAUAAUCAGACACCUCCAGAACUCUGCUGGAGAGUGAAGGCAGCAAGGAGAGGUGCACUGGCUGCGGGACGUGGGGUUUCUGACCUCUCAGAUCAUUGAGUAUUGUGAUCCCAGUGAAGCAACAGAGUUUGAGAAAAAUCAUUCUGAAUAAUGAGAAAGAAGAUGGCCUGGACCCAGGCUGAGCAGUAGAACCUGGUUGGGUUGUGUUUUUCU